rnacentral:rRNA from 1 species
UACGUAGGGUGCGAGCGUUAAUCGGAAUUACUGGGCGUAAAGCGUGCGCAGGCGGUUAUGUAAGACAGAUGUGAAAUCCCGGCGUACUGGACGUGCAUUGUGACUGCAUAGCUAGAGUACGGUAGAGGGGAGUGAAGUUACCGCGUGUAGCAGUGAAAUAGCGUAGAUAUGCGGAGGAACACCGAUGGCGAAGGCAAUCCCCUCGGACUGUACUGACGCUCAUGCACGAAAGCGUGGGGAGCAAACAGGAUUAGAUACCCUAGUAGU